rnacentral:rRNA from 1 species
CCUACGGGAGGCUGCAGUGAGGAAUAUUGGUCAAUGGCCGGAAGGCUGAACCAGCCAUGCCGCGUGAAGGUCAGUGCCCUAUGGGCGUUAAACUUCUUUUGUGCGGGAGCAAUAAUGGUCACGUGUGGCCAGACGAGAGUACCGUACGAAUAAGCAUCGGCUAACUCCGUGCCAGCAGCCGCGGUAAUACGGGGGAUGCAAGCGUUAUCCGGAUUUAUUGGGUUUAAAGGGUGCGUAGGCUGUGAGGUAAGUCAGCGGUGAAAUGCCCCCGCUCAACGGGGUGAAGUGCCAUUGAUACUGCCUUGCUUGAGUGCGGAUGCCGUGGGUGGAAUGUGUGGUGUAGCGGUGAAAUGCAUAGAUAUCACGCAGAACACCGAUUGCGAAGGCAUCUCACGAAUCCGCGAUUGACGCUGAUGCACGAAAGCGUGGGUAUCAAACAGGAUUAGAUACCCUGGUAGUC